rnacentral:rRNA from 1 species
GCAAGUCGAGCGGUAACAGAAAGUAGCUUGCUACUUUACUGACGAGCGGCGGACGGGUGAGUAACGCGUAGGAAUCUACCUGAUAGUUGGGGAUAGCCCGGGGAAACCCGGAUUAAUACCGAAUACGCUCUACGGAGGAAAGGAGGGGAUCUUUUGACCUUUCGCUAUCAGAUGAGCCUGCGUGAGAUUAGCUAGUUGGUGAGGUAAUGGCUCACCAAGGCGACGAUCUCUAGCUGGUCUGAGAGGAUGAUC